rnacentral:misc_RNA from 1 species
UUCUCUUCUUUCUCUUGUUCUUCUGUUAUUACUUUUCUGAUCUAUCCUCUUCCUCUCUUGUUCUCCUUUCUUCUAUUUCUCUUCCCUUUCCUCUAUUCAGAUUUCUUUUCUAUUCUUCCUUCUUUCUUGAAUUCUUGAAUCAAAUUUUUUCCUUCUGUCAAUUUCUAGUUCUUUCGUCUGUUUCUUUGCUUUAAUUUUUCACUUCCUGCAUUUCAAGAAACCUGUUUCUUGAAAUUCUUGGAAUUUCUAGAAACCUGUUUCUUCCUCCACCUUUUCCCUAAUUUCUUCUCUUUAUUCUUUCUUGAAAUUCUUGAAAUCCUUGUUUCUGCAUCAACUUUUCUUCCCCAGUCCCUAUAAUUUUUCUUCUCUAAGAAAUAAAAUUUUCCAAUAUCCUACUCAACCUUUUACAAGAUGAUCAUGGAAGACCAUCAUUGGGAACAGAAAUUACUUGAUAGGAUUAUGGAAGUUGUUGAAAGAGGAUUAAAAAGGCAGGAAGAAUUGUUGUUACAAAAAUUAGAGAAAUAUGAGAAGUCAUUUCAAGAGAAAAUUGACAAAGUGGUGGAAGCAAUUCAAGUGGUAAAGGAGAAUGUUGCAGUCUUUAAUAAUGAUGAUCCACCUCUUGAAAAUUCAAGUGAAGAACAAGAUGUCUUUGAUGAAACUUCCAAUAAGAAAGACAAGUACACUGAGAUGAAGCAAGAGCAGGAUCUUAUUUCUUAUACGUCUAAUACAAGAGAGGACUACGAGGAGGAGAAGCAUGUGAAUGGUGAUGAUAUGAUACUGGAGUUUGCAAUGGGGAAUGCAAAAGCUAAAACUGAAAUUCUUGCUAUAGAAAUUCUUGGGAAUAUUUUUGACAACAAGAAAGAUGGAGUUACAAAAAGUGUGGGUACUGUAAGCAAUUGGCAGAAUUCUACUAACGAAGAUUGUGAGUGUAGCUGUUGUAAUCCUGUAAGUCUCAUAGAAGAUGAAUGGGAAAUAUCAAGAAGGGAAAGGAAGAAAGUUCAGCCAUCAAAUGGUAUUAUGAUCUUCAAGGAACAAGCAUGGAAAAUUUGGAGAAGAAAAAGAAAAAAAAAAAAAAAUCUAUACAUCUAUCUCUCUCUCUCUCUCUCUCUCU